rnacentral:rRNA from 1 species
AUUGAACGCUGGCGGCAGGCCUAACACAUGCAAGUCGAACGGUAACAGGAAGCAGCUUGCUGCUUUGCUGACGAGUGGCGGACGGGUGAGUAAUGUCUGGGAAACUGCCCGAUGGAGGGGGAUAACUACUGGAAACGGUAGCUAAUACCGCAUAACGUCGCAAGACCAAAGAGGGGGACCUUAGGGCCUCUUGCCAUCGGAUGUGCCCAGAUGGGUUUAGCUAGUAGGUGGGGUAACGGCUCACCUAGGCGACGAUCCCUAGCUGGUCUGAGAGGAUGACCAGCCACACUGGAACUGAGACACGGUCCAGACUCCUACGGGAGGCAGCAGUGGGGAAUAUUGCACAAUGGGCGCAAGCCUGAUGCAGCCAUGCCGCGUGUAUGAAGAAGGCCUUCGGGUUGUAAAGUACUUUCAGCGGGGAGGAAGGGAGUAAAGUUAAUACCUUUGCUCAUUGACGUUACCCGCAGAAGAAGCACCGGCUAACUCCGUG